UACGGGAGGCAGCAGUGAGGAAUAUUGGUCAAUGGCCGAGAGGCUGAACCAGCCAAGUAGCGUGAAGGAAGAAGGAUCUAUGGUUUGUAAACUUCUUUUAUAGGGGAAUAAAGUGGAGGACGUGUCCUUUUUUGUAUGUACCCUAUGAAUAAGCAUCGGCUAACUCCGUGCCAGCAGCCGCGGUAAUACGGAGGAUGCGAGCGUUAUCCGGAUUUAUUGGGUUUAAAGGGUGCGUAGGUGGUGAUUUAAGUCAGCGGUGAAAGUUUGUGGCUCAACCAUAAAAUUGCCGUUGAAACUGGGUUACUUGAGUGUGUUUGAGGUAGGCGGAAUGCGUGGUGUAGCGGUGAAAUGCAUAGAUAUCACGCAGAACUCCGAUUGCGAAGGCAGCUUACUAAACCAUAACUGACACUGAAGCACGAAAGCGUGGGGAUCAAACAGGAUUAGAUACCCUGGUAGUCCACGCAGUAAACGAUGAUUACUAGGAGUUUGCGAUACAAUGUAAGCUCUACAGCGAAAGCGUUAAGUAAUCCACCUGGGGAGUACGCCGGCAACGGUGAAACUCAAAGGAAUUGACGGGGACCCGCACAAGCGGAGGAACAUGUGGUUUAAUUCGAUGAUACGCGAGGAACCUUACCCGGGUUUGAACGUAGUCUGACCGGAGUGGAAACACUCCUUCUAGCAAUAGCAGAUUACGAGGUGCUGCAUGGUUGUCGUCAGCUCGUGCCGUGAGGUGUCGGGUUAAGUCCCAUAACGAGCGCAACCCCUACCGUUAGUUACCAUCAGGUGAAGCUGGGGACUCUGGCGGGACUGCCGGCGUAAGCUGAGAGGAAGGUGGGGAUGACGUCAAAUCAGCACGGCCCUUACAUCCGGGGCGACACACGUGUUACAAUGGCAUGGACAAAGGGCAGCUACCUGGCGACAGGAUGCUAAUCUCCAAACCAUGUCUCAGUUCGGAUCGGAGUCUGCAACUCGACUCCGUGAAGCUGGAUUCGCUAGUAAUCGCGCAUCAGC
rnacentral:rRNA from 1 species